rnacentral:rRNA from 1 species
GGGUUGUGAGGUUAAGCGACUAAGCGUACACGGUGGAUGCCCUGGCAGUCAGAGGCGAUGAAGGACGUGCUAAUCUGCGAUAAGCGUCGGUGAGGUGAUAUGAACCGUUAUAACCGGCGAUUUCCGAAUGGGGAAACCCAGUGUGUUUCGACACACUAUCAUUAACUGAAUCCAUAGGUUAAUGAGGCGAACCGGGGGAACUGAAACAUCUAAGUACCCCGAGGAAAAGAAAUCAACCGAGAUUCCCCCAGUAGCGGCGAGCGAACGGGGAGGAGCCCAGAGCCUGAAUCAGUGUGUGUGUUAGUGGAAGCGUCUGGAAAGGCGUGCGAUACAGGGUGACAGCCCCGUACACAAAAAUGCACAUAUUGUGAGCUCGAUGAGUAGGGCGGGACACGUGGUAUCCUGUCUGAAUAUGGGGGGACCAUCCUCCAAGGCUAAAUACUCCUGACUGACCGAUAGUGAACCAGUACCGUGAGGGAAAGGCGAAAAGAACCCCGGCGAGGGGAGUGAAAAAGAACCUGAAACCGUGUACGUACAAGCAGUGGGAGCCUCUUAAUGAGGUGACUGCGUACCUUUUGUAUAAUGGGUCAGCGACUUAUAUUCUGUAGCAAGGUUAACCGAAUAGGGGAGCCGAAGGGAAACCGAGUCUUAACUGGGCGUUAAGUUGCAGGGUAUAGACCCGAAACCCGGUGAUCUAGCCAUGGGCAGGUUGAAGGUUGGGUAACACUAACUGGAGGACCGAACCGACUAAUGUUGAAAAAUUAGCGGAUGACUUGUGGCUGGGGGUGAAAGGCCAAUCAAACCGGGAGAUAGCUGGUUCUCCCCGAAAGCUAUUUAGGUAGCGCCUCGUGAAUUCAUCUCCGGGGGUAGAGCACUGUUUCGGCAAGGGGGUCAUCCCGACUUACCAACCCGAUGCAAACUGCGAAUACCGGAGAAUGUUAUCACGGGAGACACACGGCGGGUGCUAACGUCCGUCGUGAAGAGGGAAACAACCCAGACCGCCAGCUAAGGUCCCAAAGUCAUGGUUAAGUGGGAAACGAUGUGGGAAGGCCCAGACAGCCAGGAUGUUGGCUUAGAAGCAGCCAUCAUUUAAAGAAAGCGUAAUAGCUCACUGGUCGAGUCGGCCUGCGCGGAAGAUGUAACGGGGCUAAACCAUGCACCGAAGCUGCGGCAGCGACACUAUGUGUUGUUGGGUAGGGGAGCGUUCUGUAAGCCUGUGAAGGUGGCCUGUGAGGGUUGCUGGAGGUAUCAGAAGUGCGAAUGCUGACAUAAGUAACGAUAAAGCGGGUGAAAAGCCCGCUCGCCGGAAGACCAAGGGUUCCUGUCCAACGUUAAUCGGGGCAGGGUGAGUCGACCCCUAAGGCGAGGCCGAAAGGCGUAGUCGAUGGGAAACAGGUUAAUAUUCCUGUACUUGGUGUUACUGCGAAGGGGGGACGGAGAAGGCUAUGUUGGCCGGGCGACGGUUGUCCCGGUUUAAGCGUGUAGGCUGGUUUUCCAGGCAAAUCCGGAAAACCAAGGCUGAGGCGUGAUGACGAGGCACUACGGUGCUGAAGCGACAAAUGCCCUGCUUCCAGGAAAAGCCUCUAAGCAUCAGGUAACAUCAAAUCGUACCCCAAACCGACACAGGUGGUCAGGUAGAGAAUACCAAGGCGCUUGAGAGAACUCGGGUGAAGGAACUAGGCAAAAUGGUGCCGUAACUUCGGGAGAAGGCACGCUGAUAUGUAGGUGAAGCGACUUGCUCGUGGAGCUGAAAUCAGUCGAAGAUACCAGCUGGCUGCAACUGUUUAUUAAAAACACAGCACUGUGCAAACACGAAAGUGGACGUAUACGGUGUGACGCCUGCCCGGUGCCGGAAGGUUAAUUGAUGGGGUUAGCGGCAACGCGAAGCUCUUGAUCGAAGCCCCGGUAAACGGCGGCCGUAACUAUAACGGUCCUAAGGUAGCGAAAUUCCUUGUCGGGUAAGUUCCGACCUGCACGAAUGGCGUAAUGAUGGCCAGGCUGUCUCCACCCGAGACUCAGUGAAAUUGAACUCGCUGUGAAGAUGCAGUGUACCCGCGGCAAGACGGAAAGACCCCGUGAACCUUUACUAUAGCUUGACACUGAACAUUGAGCCUUGAUGUGUAGGAUAGGUGGGAGGCUUUGAAGUGUGGACGCCAGUCUGCAUGGAGCCGACCUUGAAAUACCACCCUUUAAUGUUUGAUGUUCUAACGUUGGCCCGUAAUCCGGGUUGCGGACAGUGUCUGGUGGGUAGUUUGACUGGGGCGGUCUCCUCCUAAAGAGUAACGGAGGAGCACGAAGGUUGGCUAAUCCUGGUCGGACAUCAGGAGGUUAGUGCAAUGGCAUAAGCCAGCUUGACUGCGAGCGUGACGGCGCGAGCAGGUGCGAAAGCAGGUCAUAGUGAUCCGGUGGUUCUGAAUGGAAAGGCCAUCGCUCAACGGAUAAAAGGUACUCCGGGGAUAACAGGCUGAUACCGCCCAAGAGUUCAUAUCGACGGCGGUGUUUGGCACCUCGAUGUCGGCUCAUCACAUCCUGGGGCUGAAGUAGGUCCCAAGGGUAUGGCUGUUCGCCAUUUAAAGUGGUACGCGAGCUGGGUUUAGAACGUCGUGAGACAGUUCGGUCCCUAUCUGCCGUGGGCGCUGGAGAACUGAGGGGGGCUGCUCCUAGUACGAGAGGACCGGAGUGGACGCAUCACUGGUGUUCGGGUUGUCAUGCCAAUGGCACUGCCCGGUAGCUAAAUGCGGAAGAGAUAAGUGCUGAAAGCAUCUAAGCACGAAACUUGCCCCGAGAUGAGUUCUCCCUGACUCCUUGAGAGUCCUGAAGGAACGUUGAAGACGACGACGUUGAUAGGCCGGGUGUGUAAGCGCAGCGAUGCGUUGAGCUAACCGGUACUAAUGAACCGUGAGGCUUAACCUUACAACGCCGAAG